GAUGAACGCUGGCGGCGUGCCUAAUACAUGCAAGUCGAGCGAACAGACGAGGAGCUUGCUCCUCUGACGUUAGCGGCGGACGGGUGAGUAACACGUGGAUAACCUACCUAUAAGACUGGGAUAACUUCGGGAAACCGGAGCUAAUACCGGAUAAUAUAUUGAACCGCAUGGUUCAAUAGUGAAAGACGGUUUUGCUGUCACUUAUAGAUGGAUCCGCGCCGCAUUAGCUAGUUGGUAAGGUAACGGCUUACCAAGGCGACGAUGCGUAGCCGACCGGAUAGGGUGAUCGGCCACACUGAAACUGAGACACGGUCCAGACUCCUAGGGGAGGCAGCAGUAGGGAAUCUUCCGCAAUGGGCGAAAGCCUGACGGAGCAACGCCGCGUGAGUGAUGAAGGUCUUCGGAUCGUAAAACUCUGUUAUUAGGGAAGAACAAAUGUGUAAGUAACUAUGCACGUCUUGACGGUACCUAAUAAGAAAGCCACGGCUAACUACGU
rnacentral:rRNA from 1 species